rnacentral:rRNA from 1 species
UACGGGGGGGGCAAGCGUUGUUCGGAAUUACUGGGCGUAAAGGGCUCGUAGGUGGCCAACUAAGUCAGACGUGAAAUCCCUCGGCUUAACCGGGGAACUGCGUCUGAUACUGGAUGGCUUGAGUUUGGGAGAGGGAUGCGGAAUUCCAGGUGUAGCGGUGAAAUGCGUAGAUAUCGGAAGGAACAUCAGUGGCGAAAGCGGCUUCCUGGACCAGUACCGACGUUCAGGCACGAAAGCGUGGGGAGCAAACAGG